UGGAUACUUUAAAGACUCUGUGAAUGUUGGAGUUGCUCUGCCUCGAUACUUCACUUCUUAUGUUCCAAGCUUAGUCUCACUGAAACACAACAAGCCGAGCAAAAGGAAACAAAGAGAUAAUUAGAUAGUCUCAUUUGCAAUAUGAGUUUCAUGUAGCAUCUAUAUCUCCUUUUGUUAUCAGUCAUAUGUACUUUCAUCUCUUUUUGAACACGAUUUGUAAAGAAUAUUUCUUUUGCAACAGCCUUUUGCAAUCUAUCUUCUUUCUAAUUUCUGCAUCAUUACAUACUUGUUCUUGUGAGUAUUCAAUAAGCUGGUGAAAGGUUGUGAUUAUUCAGAUAGAUAAACCAAAACAAACAUAAAGAAGCUAGCUAACUAGCUACUUCCACAAUGAACAAAAGGAAACUGCCUCUCCUUUCCAUGUUAACCCAGCAAAGGUGUCUCCAUCUUCCAUUCUUAUUUCCCAAUUUUUGUCAUAUUUUCUCAGUAAAGAUUUGGCUCCAUCAAUUGCAUCUUCACCAAAUGCUUCUGCGGCAAAACCAGCUUCUCUCAUCCUCUCAUACCAUUUAUCUUUUCCUUCAUCCAUCUCUUCAAUUAGCUUCCUCUCUUCGCUAUUCUCUUCUUUGAAUCCUGAGCUUGUUGAAUCCAGAAACUUCCACAGAUACUCAAGUUUCCUGGAGAACGCUGCUGCAAAGUCCCCACUGGGAGGCUAUACUUCAGGUGAUGCAGCCUAAACUGAGCACAGAUGAUCAAGGUCUCGUGAGGUGAAGUAUCAGUGAGUUGGAACUUGUCAAUUACACUAAUCUGGAGGUUGAUCUUAAGAGACCGAGCAAAGCCAAGGAGUUGAGAAUCAUAACUGUAAGCUGACGGGAUAAACCACUAACAAAGUGGUAUUUUAAAUCUUUAAACAUCUGAUAAUGGAUAGCGAGAUUAGAGUGUAGUCACUGUACUAAUAAUAAUCCCACUUGGUUAACUGAA